ACAGCAGGCGCUAACAAGUGUUUGUACUUAUAUUUAAUUAGGUGUCUGUCUAUCUAGCUAACUACCUUCGGAGUUCGACACACGCAGCUUAAAUAUUAAAACGUACGUCGGUAACAGGGUUUCCUCUAGCAAGUAUCGGAUAGGGUUUCGCCUACUAGGCUAGUACGAUAACGCUGCAUCAUUUACAAUUUCAGUUGUACUCAUCGCCGACACCCUGUUGUGUCACUAAAUUAAUGGAGGUCAUUCAAGUUACGCCGUGGCAAAUAGCUCCCUGCGAGUUUUUUCCAGCCUCCUUUCGAUUUCUUCGGGCUCUAAAUCAGACAAGACUCGAAGACAGGGGCCGUCCGAUGUGGUGUCCUCAUCCUGUCGGCUCUCGGGGCUGUCAGAAUCCGGGAAAGGUGUAUUUUCCUGGUUUAGAGCAUGUACGCUCGGCGGCUGGAUGGAGGAAGCUGCCGCCAUUUUGAUAAGCUCUGUGGCGAGUGAGUGGAAGCAGUAGGAGGUGGGCGUCUGUAUUGCCGUUGCUCCAUCGACAGAACAGACGAAAAGAUUAGUUGUUUUUCAGCCAGAGUUAGUCCUCUGGUCUUCCUGAUGGUGUGCCUCUGACUCCAAAUGCAAUCUCUACGGAUGGAAAUAAAGGCUAAACUUAAGAUAU